UUCCCCAUAGAUAAGAACCCUUGGAGAGUGUGUUCACUUCCAGCACCCCAUCCCCCAGGUCCCCUCAGCGACUGCACAUCUACAUUCCAGCCAGUCCCAAGGCUGAGUGAUGACAAAAAGCUGUCUCUUUGUCUCCCUGCCACGUGCUGCCAUCACCCACCAGGUGCCCUGAGAUGCCAAACGCAGUCGCAGAGAUGAUAUCACCACCCAAGGCCCCAGUGAGGUCUGGCCACCCAGUCAGCAGUCUGGCUAUGUACUCCUCUGGGAUUCAAGGGGACUCUCACAGCCAUCUUCAGAGAACCACUUGGAAACACUGUUGCAGGAGCCCAGAGCCUCUCACAGUGAGAGGGGUGCUGGCCCAUGCUUAGAAGACAAGUCUUGCUGAUUCGAGAUCCCUGUGUCUAUGCCGCAUGAGCAGCAGCGGACGGGAGGUAGGGGUGGUGGACCCUCAGACUCCACCGGCCAUCUGGGAAUGGAGCCAGCAUUAAACUUCCAG